UAAAAACAUGGCUCCUUGAAUAUUAAUAAUAGGGAGUCGGACCUGCCCAGUGAAUUUUUAACGGCCGCGGUACUCUGACCGUGCAAAGGUAGCAUAAUCAUUUGCCUUAUAAUUGAAGGCUAGUAUGAAUGGUUUGACAAGAAUGGAGCUGUCUCUUUAUAAUUUAAUAGAAUUUUAUUUUUAGGUGAAGAAGCCUAAAUGUAAUUAAAAGACAAGAAGACCCUAUCGAGCUUUAAAAAAGUUAAUAGGUCAAAUAUAAUUAAUAUUUAUAAAAAAUUAUCUAUUAAAUAUUUUAGUUGGGGCGACUGAGGAACACAAAAAGCUUCCUUUUAAAAUUUAAUUAAAAUCAGACUAGAAUUGAUCCAAAACAUUUUGAUUGAAGAAAUUAGUUACCGUAGGGAUAACAGCAUUAUCUUUUUUAAGAGCUCAUAUCGAAAAAAAGGUUUGUGACCUCGAUGUUGGACCAGAAUAUCCUAAAGGUGCAGCAGUCUUUAAGGGUUGGUCUGUUCGACCAUUAAAAUUCUACGUGA
rnacentral:rRNA from 1 species